rnacentral:rRNA from 1 species
AUUGAACGCUAGCGGGAUGCUUUACACAUGCAAGUCGAACGGCAGCGCGGACUUCGGUCUGGCGGCGAGUGGCGAACGGGUGAGUAAUGUAUCGGAACGUGCCCAGUAGCGGGGGAUAACUACGCGAAAGCGUAGCUAAUACCGCAUACGCCCUACGGGGGAAAGCAGGGGAUCGUAAGACCUUGCACUAUUGGAGCGGCCGAUAUCGGAUUAGCUAGUUGGUGAGGUAACGGCUCACCAAGGCGACGAUCCGUAGCUGGUUUGAGAGGACGACCAGCCACACGGGGACUGAGACACGGCCCAGACUCCUACGGGAGGCAGCAGUGGGGAAUUUUGGACAAUGGGGGCAACCCUGAUCCAGCCAUCCCGCGUGUGCGAUGAAGGCCUUCGGGUUGUAAAGCACUUUUGGCAGGAAAGAAACGUCGCGGGCUAAUACCCCGUGGAACUGACGGUACCUGCAGAAUAAGCACCGGCUAACUACGUG